rnacentral:pre_miRNA from 1 species
CCACCUGAAAGCUUGUCUCAACCUUUGACUUGAAGAGGUGAGCAAAGUUUCAGGUGUGU